GAUUGCUUCUUCUUUGAAGGAGCGGAUCCUGCAGGCUUAGUUUCAUUAGAAUCCUUUUCUUUCAAAACUGAGCUUUUGAAAUAAACCGAGUCAGUUUCUUUAGAAGCUAUUUUUUCAGACACAAAGCUUUCAGGAUCAUCUGAUUCUUGAUUGCCAGAUUAUGAGCAAUUUUCAUCAACAAUGGUUUGAUUAUCUGAAACAUUCUGCUCAUUAUCUGAUAUAUCUUCGGUCUGAUUUACAGAUUCAUCAAAGGGCUCCUGUUCAUCAACAAAUUCAUUCACACAGUCAGACACAAUAACAUUUUCAACUUCACAAUGUUCAGAGAGAUCUGAGGGAUAAGUUGAGGUGCCGGGCAUACUAUCAAAGUUAUAAGAAUCAUUCAAAACAGGCACAUCAGAUUCGACAUCGGAUGCCCCAGACUCUUCUGUGGGUCAGGCGUUCUUUGGUUUGAAAGGUUCCCAUCGGAUGUAGUCGCUUGGCUUGCCAUAUGUGACACCCCAGGAAAACCAGUGAACAACGUAACUUACCCAGCUUCCUCAGUGAGUGCGUACCAAAUUUCGGGACGAAAUUUCUUUUAAGUUGGGGAUAAUGUGACAACUCGAGUUUCUGAUUUUCACUUUCGCACUUGAUGCGUGUUGACUUUGACUGUUUAGUUGUUUGUAUUGUGAAUUGGAAGUUGUACGUGUUGUGUUUUAAUGAAACGAUUGUCAUUUG
rnacentral:lncRNA from 1 species